AUCCACUAGGGGAGUCGUGAUAACGACUGAGACAGGAUAAAUCCUGGACCCUUUGAACCUGAUCUAGUUAGCACUAGCGUAGGAAAGUGGAGU
rnacentral:ncRNA from 1 species